AGCGCAAGCGAGAAGGACAAGCUAUCCAGGCCACGCAAAAUCCGCUUUUUAGAACAUAGAUGGCACCAGUCAGGUGACCAUCGAAACGCAAUACGCCACGGAAAUGCCUUUGGCAUUCGGAUGGUAUGGCGAGCCUCGCCGUCCACGUUUCUCUUUCUUCAAGAAGACAAAAACCGCGUCGACCGGUUUCCCGAAUGGGCCCGUAGCUCAGUUGGUUAGAGCACACGCUUGAUAAGCGUGGGGUCGGAAGUUCAAGUCUUCCCGGGCCCACCAUUUGCUUGAUGCGAAUGAUGGUUUGGGAUGAUGGCAUGGCAGGCGAUGUGGAUUGUUGCCGAACCUUGGGGUUAAGACCUUGAGGCGAUCGAGCUGGAGGGGCUGUAGCUCAGCUGGGAGAGCACCUGCUUUGCAAGCAGGGGGUCAGCGGUUCGAUCCCGCUCAGCUCCACCAAAUCGAUUGGUGUUGAGACUGGAUGGUGAACGGUGUUUUGUCUUUUGAAGAAAUAAAGGUUUUGCGUCGGCCUUAGGGCUGAUUGCGUGUUCUGCAUACAUUGUGAAGAGAAGAUUGAUCUGGAGGCUUCCAGGUGUUUUGGGUUUUGCCCGAAGCGUCCGAGCCCGGACCUUAUGAUAUCGUGGAUGGCCUAGCCGGCUGGAAACGAAGGAGGGGACGGAGGUAGGAAGGAAGCUUGUCGCUCUGGGUCGUUGUUGUUGAUGCUUUUAGGAGCGUCUCUGACGGACGACUGGAUUACCGUUGCCUGACCGCGCGGUAUCGGAUCACAUCUCGAGAAGCUGGUCUUAAGAUAGACCGCAAGCGAGCUGCUCGGCGUAGCUCCAAUAAAGCGGAUCUAUCGAACACGUCGAUGG
rnacentral:tRNA from 1 species